rnacentral:rRNA from 1 species
AUGUGGGCACGUGCAAUUCUUUCGACCAAGAACAAUCAUGUGGAUGAUCUGAAUGACAAGAUGAUCUCAAAGUUUCCAGGCGAAGAAAAUUUAUACCAUAGCUUUGACUCAACCGAGGAUGACUUGCAGAAUAAUUACACAAUUGAUUUUCUGAACUCGAUAACACCAAAUGGCUUGCCGCCGCAUGUACUGAGAUUAAAGGUCAACUGUCCGGUCAUUCUGCUCCGGAACCUCGACCCUCAUAAUGGCCUAUGCAAUGGAACACGGCUUAUGAUUAGAGCCUUCUAG